UGCAGCCGAUGACAAAUUUUUCCCAUAAUUUGCUGAUUGACCAGUGAUUAAUAUAAACAUAUCACCAUCUUUCGACUGAGAUUGCA
rfam:Capsicum annuum cultivar Zunla-1 chromosome 2, whole genome shotgun sequence